UACGGAGGGUGCAAGCGUUAUCCGGAUUCACUGGGUUUAAAGGGUGCGUAGGAGGGCAGAUAAGUCAGUGGUGAAAUCCUAGAGCUUAACUCUAGAACUGCCGUUGAUACUAUCUGUCUUGAAUAUUGUGGAGGUGUGCGGAAUAUGUCAUGUAGCGGUGAAAUGCUUAGAUAUGACAUAGAACACCAAUUGCGAAGGCAGCUCGCUACGCAUAUAUUGACUCUGAGGCACGAAAGCGUGGGGAUCAAACAGG
rnacentral:rRNA from 1 species